rnacentral:misc_RNA from 1 species
GAUGAAGAACGCAGCGAAAUGCGAUAAGUAAUGUGAAUUGCAGAAUUCAGUGAAUCAUCGAAUCUUUGAACGCACAUUGCGCCCCCUGGUAUUCCGGGGGGCAUGCCUGUUCGAGCGUCAUUUCACCACUCAAGCCUCGCUUGGUAUUGGGCAACGCGGUCCGCCGCGUGCCUCAAAUCGACCGGCUGGGUCUUCUGUCCCCUAAGCGUUGUGGAAACUAUUCGCUAAAGGGUGUUCGGGAGGCUACGCCGUAAGACAACCCCAUUUCUAAGGUUGACCUCGGAUCAGGUAGGGAUACCCGCUGAACUUAAGCAUAUCAAUAAGCGGAGGA